rnacentral:rRNA from 1 species
GACGAACGCUGGCGGCGUGCUUAACACAUGCAAGUCGAACGGAAAGGCCCUUCGGGGUACUCGAGUGGCGAACGGGUGAGUAACACGUGGGUGAUCUGCCCUGCACUUUGGGAUAAGCCUGGGAAACUGGGUCUAAUACCGAAUAGGACCACGCGCUUCAUGGUGUGUGGUGGAAAGCUUUUGCGGUGUGGGAUGGGCCCGCGGCCUAUCAGCUUGUUGGUGGGGUAAUGGCCUACCAAGGCGACGACGGGUAGCCGGCCUGAGAGGGUGACCGGCCACACUGGGACUGAGAUACGGCCCAGACUCCUACGGGAGGCAGCAGUGGGGAAUAUUGCACAAUGGGCGCAAGCCUGAUGCAGCGACGCCGCGUGAGGGAUGACGGCCUUCGGGUUGUAACCCUCUUUCAAUAGGGACGAAGCGCAAGUGACGGUACCUAUAGAAGAAGCACCGGCCAACUACGUG